rnacentral:lncRNA from 1 species
UUCGAGUUUUCUUUUAACUUUUAUUUUGGGUUCAGGGUGCAUGUGCAGGUUUGUAAUAUAGGUAAACUCAUGUCAUGGGGUUUGUUGUACAGAUUAUUUCAUCACCCAGGUAGUAAGGCCAGUGCCCAUUAGUUAUUUUGUUGAUCCUCUCCCUCCUCCCAGCCUCUACCCUCUGAUAAGCCCCAGCGUGUUGGCCCUCUCUGGGUGUCCAUGUGUUCUCAGCAAUUAGCUCCCAUUUAUAAGUGACUUCAUGUGGUAUUGGGUUUUCUGCUCCUGCAUUAGUUUGCUAAGGAUAAUGGCCUCCAGCUCCAUCCGUGUUCCUGGAAAGGACAUGAUCUCACUGUUUUUUAUGGCUGCAUAGUACUCCAUGGUGUAUAUGUACCACAUUUUAAAAAGUGCAGUCUGUUAUUGAUGGGCAUUUAGGUUGAUCCCAUGUCUUUGCUAUUGUGAGUAGUGCUACAAUGAUCAUACAUGUGCAUGCGUCUUUAUAAUAGAAAGGUUUAUGUACCUUUGGGUAUAGUCCCAGCAAUGGGAUUGCAGGGCCAAAUGGUAUUUCUGUUCUUAAGUCCGUGAGGAAUUGCCACACUCCUUUCCACAAUGGUUGAACUAAUUUAUACUCCAACCAACAGGGUAUAAGCGUUGCCUUUUCUGCACAAACUCACCAGCGUCUGUUAUUUUUGUUCUUGCUUUUUAUCCAGCCUUAUAGACUCUGACUCUGUUUUUUGAGACAGGAUGUCUUUCUGUCUGUGAACGUGAAUUCCGCUGGUGUCUGAGACUUGCCAGGAUUCCAGCUCUCUCAAAUGCCUGUGUUCGAACUUUAUGAAUUUGCUACAUUUUCACUGGUUUUCUUCUUACCCCCUGUUAUGGCUGUCACUUCUUCCACACAUGCUCUGCCACAGGUGAUGCAGUUUGUUUGUCUCAUCCCUCCUCAGAGGGACUAAGUCACCAUUUUGGAUCAGUUCCCAUGGCUGCCUUGUUACCUCAGGUCUCUCAUGAUCU